rnacentral:rRNA from 1 species
UACGGGGGGAGCAAGCGUUGUUCGGAUUUACUGGGCGUAAAGGGCGCGUAGGCGGUCAGCACAAGUCAGUUGUGAAAUCUCCGGGCUUAACUCGGAAAGGUCAACUGAUACUGGUGCGACUAGAGUGCGGAAGGGGCAACUGGAAUUCUCGGUGUAGCGGUGAAAUGCGUAGAUAUCGAGAGGAACACCUGCGGCGAAGGCGGGUUGCUGGGCCGACACUGACGCUGAGGCGCGAAAGCGUAGGGGAGCGAACGGG